rnacentral:rRNA from 1 species
GACGAACGCUGGCGGCGUGCUUAACACAUGCAAGUCGAACGGAAAGGCCCUGCUUUUGUGGGCUGCUCGAGUGCCGAACGGGUGAGUAACACGUGAGUAACCUGCCCUUGACUUUGGGAUAACUUAAGGAAACUGGGGCUAAUACCGUAUAGCAUCUCCUGCUGCAUGGUGGGGGUUGGAACGUCUCGGCGGUCGGGGAUGGACUCGCGGCUUAUGAGCUUGCUGGUGGGGUAGUGGCUUACCAAGGCUUUGACGGGUAGCCGGCCUGAGAGGGUGACCGGCCACAAUGGGACUGAGAUACGGCGCAGACUCCUACGUGAGGCAGCAGGGGGGAAUAUUGCACAAUGGGCGGAAGCCUGAGGCAGCAACGCUGCGUGCGGGAAGACGGCCUGCGGGGUGUAAAACGCUUUCGCCUGUGACGAAGCGGGAGUGACGGUAAUGGGUAAAGAAGCACCGGCUAACUACGUG